rnacentral:rRNA from 1 species
UGGGGAAUUUUGGACAAUGGGCGCAAGCCUGAUCCAGCAAUGCCGCGUGCAGGAUGAAGGCCUUCGGGUUGUAAACUGCUUUUGUACGGAGCGAAAAGGCUUGCCCUAAUAUGGUGAGCUGAUGACGGUACCGUAAGAAUAAGCACCGGCUAACUACGUGCCAGCAGCCGCGGUAAUACGUAGGGUGCAAGCGUUAAUCGGAAUAACUGGGCGUAAAGCGUGCGCAGGCGGUUUUGUAAGACAGGUGUGAAAUCCCCGGGCUUAACCUGGGAAUUGCAUUUGUGACUGCAAAGCUGGAGUACGGCAGAGGGGGAUGGAAUUCCGCGUGUAGCAGUGAAAUGCGUAGAUAUGCGGAGGAACACCGAUGGCGAAGGCAGUCCCCUGGGCCUGUACUGACGCU